rnacentral:rRNA from 1 species
CAGCCGCCACGGGAAUACAGAGGGUGCGAGCGUUAAUCGGAUUUACUGGGCGUAAAGCGUGCGUAGGCGGCUUCUUAAGUCGGAUGUGAAAUCCCUGAGCUUAACUUAGGAAUUGCAUUCGAUACUGGGAAGCUAGAGUAUGGGAGAGGAUGGUAGAAUUCCAGGUGUAGCGGUGAAAUGCGUAGAGAUCUGGAGGAAUACCGAUGGCGAAGGCAGCCAUCUGGCCUAAUACUGACGCUGAGGUACGAAAGCAUGGGGAGCAAACAGGAUUAGAUACCCCUGUAGUCACUGUCUCUUAUAC